AUGAACGCUGGCGGCGUGCCUAAUCCAUGCAAGUCGAGCGAACAGAUGAGGAGCUUGCUCCUCUGACGUUAGCGGCGGACGGGUGAGUAACACGUGGAUAACCUACCUAUAAGACUGGGGUAACUUCGGGAAACCGGAGCUAAUACCGGAUAAUAUAUUGAACCGCAUGGUUCAAUAGUGAAAGACGGUUUUGCUGUCACUUAUAGAUGGAUCCGCGCCGCAUUAGCUAGUUGGUAAGGUAACGGCUUACCAAGGCAACGAUGCGUAGCCGACCUGAGAGGGUGAUCGGCCACACUGGAACUGAGACACGGUCCAGACUCCUACGGGAGGCAGCAGUAGGGAAUCUUCCGCAAUGGGCGAAAGCCUGACGGAGCAACGCCGCGUGAGUGAUGAAGGUCUUCGGAUCGUAAAACUCUGUUAUUAGGGAAGAACAAAUGUGUAAGUAACUAUGCACGUCUUGACGGUACCUAAUCAGAAAGCCACGGCUAACUACGUG
rnacentral:rRNA from 1 species